rnacentral:sRNA from 1 species
CCCGCUCUACCAUGACCACCAUUAUUAUUACCAACAUAACCAUUGUUGGGGCGGCCUUGUAAGCGAAAGUUUUUCAAAAAAAGGCCUGUAUCCCCAGAGAUGCAGGCCUUUUUUUA